GAGUUUGAUCCUGGCUCAGGAUGAACGCUAGCGGCAGGCCUAACACAUGCAAGUCGAGGGGUAACGGGGGUGCUUGCACCCGCCGACGACCGGCGCACGGGUGCGGAACGCGUAUGGAACCUGCCCCUGUCAGGGGAAUAGCCCAGAGAAAUUUGGAUUAAUGCCCCAUGGCAUCAUAUGGACACAUGUCCACGUGAUUAAAGAUUUAUCGGACAGGGAUGGCCAUGCGUACCAUUAGUUUGUUGGUGGGGUAACGGCCCACCAAGGCAGCGAUGGUUAGGGGCCCUGAGAGGGGGAUCCCCCACACUGGUACUGAGACACGGACCAGACUCCUCCGGGAGGCAGCAGUGAGGAAUAUUGGACAAUGGAGGGGACUCUGAUCCAGCCAUGCCGCGUGCAGGAUGACCGCCCUAUGGGUCGUAAACUGCUUUUGUACGGGAAGAAACCCAUCUUCGUGAAGAUGGCUGACGGUACCGUAAGAAUAAGGACCGGCUAACUCCGUGCCAGCAGCCGCGGUAAUACGGAGGGUCCGAGCGUUAUCCGGCAUCAUUGGGUUUAAAGGGUCCGUAGGCGGGCCGUUAAGUCAGGGGUGAAAGUCUGCGGCUCAACCGUAGAAUUGCCUUUGAUACUGGCGGUCUUGAGUUAUGGUGAAGUUGCCGGAACAUGUGGUGUAGCGGUGGAAUGCAUAGAUAUCACAUAGAACGCCGAUUGCGAAGGCAGGUGACUAACCAUAUACUGACGCUGAUGGACGAAAGCGUGGGUAGCGAACGGGAUUAGAUACCCCGGUAGUCCACGCCGUAAACGAUGGAUACUAGCUGUCGGGCCCUUGGGCUCGGCGGCCAAGCGAAAGUGAUAAGUAUCCCACCUGGGGAGUACGUUCGCAAGAAUGAAACUCAAAGGAAUGACGG
rnacentral:rRNA from 1 species